AGGCAUCCAGUAGCAGAACCCUUUCCCUACCAAGGUAGCAUCUUAGGAAGUGGAGAGGAACCUGAAUUCUGGAAUUCAAGUGUGCUGUCCAGCAAGCAAAAUUUUCACUUUCCAGCAGCAUAAAACACUAAAAUUUUGGCAACUUCAGUACCCAAAUUUUGAGAUACAAGCCAAACAGUUGAGUGUUGAUGAGAUUGAGUGUAUAUCAUCCAAAAGAAACUUGCUAGUGGAGUGAAAAUAUCCUGAAACAGUAAAGAAAGUGAGAUCUGAGUGAAUGCACAUGAAGCCAAUUAGCUUUGGUCGAGAGAAACUCUGCACUAAAUUUCCAUUGCUGAAAGAGUUCUUUCCUAAAUCUGAAUUGUCCUAGUUACUUAGAUUUGUGCAGCCUUUGAUUUGUUUGAUAUUCACAUGAGUAUUUGCUGUUUUGGUUUGCUAGAAUUAUGCAGAUUUGAUUUGGAAAGCCGUGCACAACAGCCUUUGUGACCAGUUUCAGCAGUGGGAAAACUGGAUCCAUCUUCCACAUCAAAUGCCUUGAAGCCGAGAGAGACUAGUGGUGCAGUUUUGAAAAGCUAAGAGACUCCAAAAGUAUUCCAGCACAAGGAAUUUGGCCAAAACUUGGCAAAACAUUUGAGUUUGUUUUGUUUAUUUUGUUUUGAAUUUGUAAGAGGUUCUUGUGUUAGUUUCUUCUUUGUAAAAGGCCAUUCAAAGUCCAAGUUGUCUUGGAAGAGUCCUUGGUGCUCUUUCAACUCUUGGCAAAACUUUUCUUGUGUGUUUUAAUUUGUGUUACACGUUU
rnacentral:lncRNA from 1 species